rnacentral:rRNA from 1 species
CAUGUCCUUUUGAUUAUAAUUUAAGGUCUAAUCUGCUCAAUGAGGAAUUAAAUUGCCGCGGUAUUUUGACUGUGCAAAGGUAGCAUAAUAAUUAGUUUUUUUAUUGAAAGCUGGAAUGAAUGAUUGGACGAGAAAAUCACUGUCUCUUUUUAAUUAAUUUUUGAAUUUAACUUUUAAGUAAAAAGGCUUAAAUUUUUGUUAAAGACGAGAAGACCCUAUAGAGUUUAAUAAUUUAAUUUUUUAUAUAUUUUUUGGUAUUUUAAAAUUUAUAUUAGUUUAUUUAUUUGGUUGGGGUGACUAGAAGACAAGUUAAACUCUUCUAAAUUUUUAAAUCAUUGAUUUUUGAAUAUUGAAUCUAAUUUUUUUAAAUUUAAGAUUAAUUACCUUAGGGAUAACAGCGUAAUUUUCUUUUAGAGUUCUUAUUGGAAGGAAAGUUUGCGACCUCGAUGUUGGAUUAAAAUUUAUUUUUGGUGCAGAAGCUGAAACGUUAAGUCUGUUCGACUUUUAAAAUUUUACAUGAUCUGAGU